GACUGAGCAGCAGAGCCUCUAGCCCUCUUUUCGGCUUCCGGUUUGGUGGGGGGAACUACUUGAUUGAUCUGGAUUGCUUGUUUUCUCUUAUACUUGCUGAGAUAAUGGAUGCAGUAAUUGGAGGAACCCUGAAGACUCCCUCUAACAGCUGAUGCCCUGCAGCUUACUCGAGUCUUGGGGUGCCAUCCUGGAGGAGUUUUGCUAAGGAUAUGAAGAUUUUUAGAACAUGCCCAUGGAGAACCACCCAUUGCUUUAUUCGGCCAAGAAGGAUUUGGGGGAAGGAAAUGUUGCUCUCUCCACCUGGACAAUCCUUCAGACUGAUGGACACAGAAGCACGGAGGCUAACCCUCUGUAUUCCUAUCAGUAACUAGCCAUUUGAGGUGGGUUGCUCUUUGGAGAAAGCACGCCCUUGUAUGAAGUCCCCACCGGAAGCAAGUAGUAGAUGAUGCUCACAGCUGACACAGUUGACAGCUCCAAUCCCAAUGGCUGACUACAUGAGGUCACAAUGGGGCAACUGGAUGGCCACCCAAACUGGAAAAGGAUGAGAGAAGGAUGAAUAACUGGUUUCAAGUUCAUCAGAAGGGAUUCAAAAAGAGGCUGAUACCAAAUGAUAGCAAGCCAAAUCAGUCCACAACUCCAAGAAGAUACGACAUCUGUCUUAUGGUGCUGGCAUUUGAUUCAGUCUUUAAAAUUAUUAGAGUCUGAAUCUUCUAAGCUGUGGGAAAAUGUGGCAGGAAAGACCCAAAAGGGGCUAUGAUCUGAAGCUGAACAGACGAUGCCCCCCACUUACUGCCAAAGGGCAACGGCUUCUGCUGUGUAAGAGUUUGGUGGAAAACCUUCGAACUUUAAAAGGGCAAUUAUUAGUUGACAGGAAGGAGGGAAGAACGGAAAAGCAGCACUGACUGAAUCUUUCCAAAGUCAACAACUCCUCCUGCCAGAAGCCAUUUAGCAAUAAAAAUCACCCAAGUUGUAUGCAAAGGCCAAAUCUAACCACAGUCUAUUCUACUCAGCUCCUCCUCCAAGCAUUUGAAAAUACCUUACAGCCAGCAAUUUAAUCACAAAGACAUUUCCCCAAAAGUUACAAAUUCCUGCAGUAGAUGGAGUUAUGGAAAAUAGGGACUUGCAGGGUAAUGCCAAGGAUGUGUCACCUUCCCUCAGUGUCUUGAACCAAGAUAAGUUCUAUUUAACACUCAGCUUGUACGAAUCCCUGUCCCUAAAAGAUUUAUCUGAUUAAAGGCAUGGAUAAAUAUUUAA